rnacentral:rRNA from 1 species
UACGUAGGCAGCAAGCGUUGUUCGGAGUUACUGGGCGUAAAGAGUGCGUAGGCGGUUUCGUAAGUUUGGUGUGAAAUCUCCCGGCUUAACUGGGAGGGUGCGCCGAAAACUGCCUUGCUCGAGUAUGGGAGAGGGAAGUGGAAUUUCCGGUGUAGCGGUGAAAUGCGUAGAUAUCGGAAGGAACAUCAGUGGCGAAGGCGACUUCCUGGACCAAUACUGACGCCUCGAGGUGACGAAGGCAGUGGG